rnacentral:rRNA from 1 species
AGCGAUAUAAGGGCGUAUGGCGGAUGACUCGAGAUAUAUGGGCGAAGAAGGACGCGGCGUGACGGCGAUAUGCUUCGGGGAGGUGUCGAGCAACCUUUGAUCCGAAGAUUUCCGAAUGGGGAAACCUAUGCCGAAAUUUUAAUUCGGUAUUCUGCGGUUUUAAAAAAUCGUAUGAGCGAACCUAGGGAAGUAAAACAUUUCAGUACCUAGAGGAAAAGAAAACAAUGCAAAACUUUUUUCCAAGCGUUUGAAAUUUCAAUGUUUGGAAAAAAGAUUUGUCCAUUCUCUUAGUAGCGGCGAGCGAAAAGGGAAGAGCCCAGAUCCCGAUUUUUAUUUAAUUUAUUAAGUGGAAGUCGCGGAAGUAGUAAGUUUGGUCCUAGUCUUUAAUGAUGAAGAAAAUUGGAUUAUUAGUAGAACGGCCCUGGAAAGGCCGGCCAAAGAGGGUAAUAGCCCCGUAAGCGAAAAUCAAUCUAUAUUCUUUGGACCUUACUUGAGUACCUCGAAAAAUGUAUAGUUCGGGGGAAUCUGCCCGCACGAGCGGGUAAGGCUAAAUACCAUUUAUCAUCGAUAGUGAACAAGUACCGUGAGGGAAAGUUGAAAAGUAGCCCGGUGAGGGCGAUGAAAUAGUACCUGAAACCAUAUGCCUACAAGGAGUCGAAGCGGUUCGUCGCAAGACGACACCGUAACGGCGUGCCUAUUGAAGAAUGAGCCAACGAGUUAUUG